UCCGCCAGGCUCGGCUCGGCCACCUCCUGCCGCCAGGUUACGGCAGUCGACGUCACCGAUGACGGCCGGACGCUGUCGGGUCACAGGUCGGCGGAUGAAAGCCAGGGUCUAGUCGACCCCACGUUGACCCAAAAGCUCCUGUGGCGGAAAGUCCUCAAAUUGACGGCGAUAUCGGCCACGGCAUUGAUCGUCACUGCAGGCAUGAUCUUACUAGGUUUGCUGCUGCUGUGAUGAACGAGGCCCGAUGCCUGACUACAUUUCCCACG